UGGGGAAUAUUGGACAAUGGGGGGAACCCUGAUCCAGCCAUGCCGCGUGUGUGAAGAAGGCCUUAUGGUUGUAAAGCACUUUAAGCGAGGAGGAGGGUACUGGUAUUAAUACUACCAGGUACUGGACGUUACUCGCAGAAUAAGCACCGGCUAACUCUGUGCCAGCAGCCGCAGUAAUACAGAGGGUGCGAGCGUUAAUCGGAUUUACUGGGCGUAAAGCGUGCGUAGGCGGCUAAUUGAGUCGGAUGUGAAAUCCCCGAGCUUAACUUGGGAAUUGCAUUCGAUACUGGUUAGCUAGAGUGUGGGAGAGGAUGGUAGAAUUCCAGGUGUAGCGGUGAAAUGCGUAGAGAUCUGGAGGAAUACCGAUGGCGAAGGCAGCCAUCUGGCCUAACACUGACGCUGAGGUACGAAAGCAUGGGGAGCAAACAGG
rnacentral:rRNA from 1 species